AUUGAACGCUGGCGGCAGGCUUAACACAUGCAAGUCGAACGCAUCGCAAGAUGAGUGGCAGACGGGUGAGUAACGCGUGGGAACAUACCCUUUUCUACGGAAUAGCUCUGGGAAACUGGAAUUAAUACCGUAUACGCCCUACGGGGGAAAGAUUUAUCGGGGAAGGAUUGGCCCGCGUUGGAUUAGCUAGUUGGUGGGGUAAAGGCCUACCAAGGCGACGACCCAUAGCUGGUCUGAGAGGAUGAUCAGCCACAUUGGGACUGAGACACGGCCCAAACUCCUACGGGAGGCGGCAGUGGGGAAUAUUGGACAAUGGGCGCAAGCCUGAUCCAGCCAUGCCGCGUGAGUGAUGAAGGCCUUAGGGUUGUAAAGCUCUUUCACCGAUGAAGAUAAUGACGGUAGUCGGAGAAGAAGCCCCGGCUAACUUCGUGCCAGCCGCCGCCGUAAGAC
rnacentral:rRNA from 1 species